GGCCUAUCAGCUUGUUGGUGGGGUAACGGCCUACCAAGGCUCCGACGGGUAGCCGGCCUGAGAGGGUGGACGGCCACACUGGGACUGAGACACGGCCCAGACUCCUACGGGAGGCAGCAGUGGGGAAUAUUGCACAAUGGGCGCAAGCCUGAUGCAGCGACGCCGCGUGAGGGAUGAAGGCCUUCGGGUUGUAAACCUCUUUCAGUAGGGAAGAAGCGAAAGUGACGGUGCCUGCAGAAGAAGCGCCGGCUAACUACGUGCCAGCAGCCGCGGUAAUACGUAGGGCGCAAGCGUUAUCCGGAAUUAUUGGGCGUAAAGAGCUCGUAGGCGGUUUGUCGCGUCUGCCGUGAGAGUCCGGGGCUUAACUCCGGAUCUGCGGUGGGUACAGGCAGACUUGAGUGAUGUAGGGGAGACUGGAAUUCCUGGUGUAGCGGUGAAAUGCGCAGAUAUCAGGAGGAACACCGAUGGCGAAGGCAGGUCUCUGG
rnacentral:rRNA from 1 species